UACGGAGGGGGCUAGCGUUGUUCGGAAUUACUGGGCGUAAAGCGUACGUAGGCGGCUUUGUAAGUUAGAGGUGAAAGCCCGGAGCUUAACUCCGGAACUGCCUUUAAGACUGCAUCGCUCGAAUCAUGGAGAGGUCAGUGGAAUUCCGAGUGUAGAGGUGAAAUUCGUAGAUAUUCGGAAGAACACCAGUGGCGAAGGCGACUGACUGGACAUGUAUUGACGCUGAGGUGCGAAAGCGUGGGGAGCAAACAGG
rnacentral:rRNA from 1 species